ACAAAUUCAUUUUCUUCACAACUGUUCAUACAGCGCUGCGGAAUCAAAACGUCACAGCAGAAUGAAUGGCAAGCCAAUUCUCACCGGAUGUGGUUCUGACGACAUCUGACGGAGCAGAGACACUGCCAUCAAAAUCAGCGCUUCAGUCCACACAAGACUCUUAAAAAAGGCCAGCAAGAAUUGGUUCAGCUGCAGUGUGGCCUAAUGGACGUGAAGUGCAAUACGACCGGAUGUGGACCUGGAACUGGAAAAGGUUACAGAAGGACUUGUACCUCCGUCAGCCCACAGUCAGACAGUUUAUAAAUGGAAGAAAUGCAGCACCGCUGCAAAGGUAAUGUUAAGAGUCUU